rnacentral:rRNA from 1 species
UGGGGAAUAUUGGACAAUGGGCGAAAGCCUGAUCCAGCCAUGCCGCGUGAGUGAUGAAGGCCUUCGGGUUGUAAAGCUCUUUCACCCACGACGAUGAUGACGGUAGUGGGAGAAGAAGCCCCGGCUAACUUCGUGCCAGCAGCCGCGGUAAUACGAAGGGGGCAAGCGUUGUUCGGAAUGACUGGGCGUAAAGGGCGCGUAGGCGGCGCGUUGCGUCAGAUGUGAAAUCCCCGGGCUCAACCUGGGAAUGGCAUUUGAUACGGGCGUGCUGGAAUCCGUGAGAGGUUGGUGGAAUUCCCAGUGUAGAGGUGAAAUUCGUAGAUAUUGGGAAGAACACCAGUGGCGAAGGCGGCCAACUGGCACGGUAUUGACGCUGAGGCGCGAAAGCGUGGGGAGCAAACAGG